GUGCAUGCGCGUGCUAUACAUGCAAGUCGAGCGGACAGAAGGGAGCUUGCUCCCGGAUGUUAGCGGCGGACGGGUGAGUAACACGUGGGUAACCUGCCUGUAAGACUGGGAUAACUCCGGGAAACCGGAGCUAAUACCGGAUAGUUCCUUGAACCGCAUGGUUCAAGGAUGAAAGACGGUUUCGGCUGUCACUUACAGAUGGACCCGCGGCGCAUUAGCUAGUUGGUGAGGUAACGGCUCACCAAGGCGACGAUGCGUAGCCGACCUGAGAGGGUGAUCGGCCACACUGGGACUGAGACACGGCCCAGACUCCUACGGGAGGCAGCAGUAGGGAAUCUUCCGCAAUGGACGAAAGUCUGACGGAGCAACGCCGCGUGAGUGAUGAAGGUUUUCGGAUCGUAAAGCUCUGUUGUUAGGGAAGAACAAGUGCAAGAGUAACUGCUUGCACCUUGACGGUACCUAACCAGAAAGCCACGGCUAACUACGUGCCAGCAGCCGCGGUAAUACGUAGGUGGCAAGCGUUGUCCGGAAUUAUUGGGCGUAAAGGGCUCGCAGGCGGU
rnacentral:rRNA from 1 species